GUGGGUACAACUCAGUGGUAGAGGAUGUGCUUAGCAUGCAGAAGUCCUGGGAUCAAUCCCUAGUACUCCCA
rnacentral:tRNA from 1 species